rnacentral:rRNA from 1 species
AUUGAACGCUGGCGGCAUGCCUUACGCAUGCAAGUCGAACGGCAGCACGGGAGCAAUCCUGGUGGCGAGUGGCGAACGGGUGAGUAAUAUAUCGGAACGUGCCCAGUCGUGGGGGAUAACGUAGCGAAAGCUACGCUAAUACCGCAUACGAUCUAUGGAUGAAAGCGGGGGAUCGCAAGACCUCGCGCGAUUGGAGCGGCCGAUAUCAGAUUAGGGAGUUGGUGAGGUAAAGGCUCACCAAGCCGACGAUCUGUAGCUGGUCUGAGAGGACGACCAGCCACACUGGGACUGAGACACGGCCCAGACUCCUACGGGAGGCAGCAGUGGGGAAUUUUGGACAAUGGGCGCAAGCCUGAUCCAGCAAUGCCGCGUGCAGGAUGAAGGCCUUCGGGUUGUAAACUGCUUUUGUACGGAGCGAAAAGGCUUCCACUAAUACUGGGGGCUCAUGACGGUACCGUAAGAAUAAGCACCUGCUAACUACGUGCCAGCCGCCGCCGUAAGAC